UACGUAGGGUGCGAGCGUUAAUCGGAAUUACUGGGCGUAAAGCGCGCGUAGGUGGUUCAGUAAGUUGGAUGUGAAAUCCCCGGGCUCAACCUGGGAACUGCAUUUGUGACUGCAAGGCUAGAGUACGGCAGAGGGGGAUGGAAUUCCGCGUGUAGCAGUGAAAUGCGUAGAUAUGCGGAGGAACACCAAUGGCGAAGGCAAUCCCCUGGGCCUGUACUGACGCUCAUGCACGAAAGCGUGGGGAGCAAACAGG
rnacentral:rRNA from 1 species